rnacentral:piRNA from 1 species
UAUAGGGCUCUGGAUGAUUUUUG